rnacentral:rRNA from 1 species
AACGAACGCUGGCGGCAUGCCUAACACAUGCAAGUCGAACGAAACCUUCGGGCCUAGUGGCGCACGGGUGCGUACCGCGUGGGAACCUGCCCUUAGGUUCGGUAUAACUCCCCGAAAGGGGUGCUAAUACCGGUUAAUCUCUUCGGACCUAAGAUUUAUCGCUUUUGGAUGGGCCCGCGUUGGAUUCGCUAGUUGGUAGGGUAAAAGCCUACCAAGGCGACGAUCCAUAGCUGGUCUGAGAGGAUGAUCAGCCACACUGGGACUGAGACACGGCCCAGACUCCUACGGGAGGCAGCAGAGGGGUAUAUAGGACGAGGGGCGAAAGCCUGACACAGCAAUGCGGGGUGAGUGAUGAAGGCCUUAGGGUUGUAAAGCUGUUUUACCCGGGAUGAGAAUGACAGUACCGGGAGAAUAAGCACCGGCUAACUCCGUG